rnacentral:rRNA from 1 species
GACGAACCGUGCGAACGUUGUUCGGAUUCACUGGGCUUAAAGGGUGCGUAGGCGGCCCUGUAAGUCAGUGCUGAAAUAUCCCAGCUUAACUGGGAGGGUAGCAUUGAUACUGCGGGGCUAGAGUACAGAUGAGGUAGGCGGAAUUGACGGUGUAGCGGUGAAAUGCUUAGAUAUCGUCAAGAACACCUAUAGCGAAGGCAGCUUACUAGGCUGUAACUGACGCUGAGGCACGAAAAGUGUGGGGAUCAAACAGG